GACGAACGCUGGCGGCGUGCCUAAUACAUGCAAGUCGAGCGCUGAAGGUUGGUACUUGUACCAACUGGAUGAGCCGCGAACGGGUGAGUAACGCGUGGGGAAUCUGCCUUUGAGCGGGGGACAACAUUUGGAAACGAAUGCUAAUACCGCAUAAAAACCUUAAACACAAGUUUUAAGUUUGAAAGAUGCAAUUGCAUCACUCAAAGAUGACCCCGCGUUGUAUUAGCUAGUUGGUGAGGUAAAGGCUCACCAAGGCGAUGAUACAUAGCCGACCUGAGAGGGUGAUCGGCCACAUUGGGACUGAGACACGGCCCAAAGUCCUACGGGAGGCAGCAGUAGGGAAACUUCGGCCAUGGACGAAAGUCAGACCGAGCAACGCCGCGUGAGUGAAGAAGGUUUUCGGAUCGUAAAACUCUGUUGGUAGGGAAGAACGUUGGUGAGAGUGGAAAGCUCAUCAAGUGACGGUAACUACCCAGAAAGGGACGGCUAACUACGUG
rnacentral:rRNA from 1 species